AGAUUUUCUCAUGUGUGUCUUGUGCUUUGUAGGAUCUCAGCUCCAACACCAAGGCCUCUGUGUUCCCUAGAGAAGCCACUCUGGAUGGUCUCUCUGAAGUCUGCCUCCUUCCCUGGCCAGCUCUACAACUUAGAAUGCCUGAAUAUAUACAAAUAUGAACAAGACCCACAAGGACUGCUCAUCACCCCAGUAUUCCAUUUACAACAUCCUGAAUGAACUCCCGACCAGGCCUAUAAUUCUCUCUUGCAGCCAAAUAUCCUGCUUACUCCUGGUAUCUACCUGGUCAGCAGACCUCAUGAGUUAUCGCCCAGUGACAAAACCAUCCCAAAGAUGCACCAGUCCAGCACAAAGUAUGACUGUCAAUCUCACAAAAGAUGUAGGGUUCUACGAGGAUACUCAGAGUAUAAGAAUUACGCUAAGUGAAAUAAGCCAAGCCCAGAAAGACACAUACUUUAUUAUUUCAUGUAUCUGUGGAAUCUAAAAGAGUCAAAUUCAUGGCAGCAGGGAGAGGGCUGAAGAAGGGGGAGAUGUUGAUCAAAGUUUCUAUGUAUACAAAGACCAAACCAUCACAUUAUGCCUCAUAAAUAUAUACAAUUAUUAUUUGCUAAUUACAAGUAAAGCAAUACAAGAAGAAAAAAAGGAAUCAUAAGUAAAUCCAUGACAAGUGAAAACGCAAUGGAGAGAAGGGAAUCAAUGAUUGAAGAAGAGAAAGGACAGUGGAUUUACAACUGCUUCGAAAGAGUGAUUUGACUGGCAAAGGACUGGGGAGAGGUCCUUUGGGAAAUGGACAAAGCCCUCGAAUGGUUAGGAAAGACAAUCUCUUUAUAAAUGCAGGGCAUAAGCUGAGCACAAGGUGAAGUUUGGCAUGUACUGCCGUGGGAUGUUGUAAAAAUUAUGUCAAAAGCAAAGCAAUUCUUGGUUCAUCUGUGUUCACUGUGAGACUAGCCUAUUAUUGGGGUUAAACUUAUAAACAAACUUCUAUUCAUCAUUUUUUUCUCCAAAAUAAAGUGAUCAAAUUGUCCCA
rnacentral:lncRNA from 10 species